GGUAAAUAAUCGAGUCAAAAGUGAUCUUCCCGGAUGAAUCAGCCAACAAGCCACCUAUCACCGUGACCGGGAGAGACAGAACGUUCCAACGAGACCAAUUUCGUCCCGAACAGAGUCUCCAGCCGGCCUGGACGCCGCCGUGAAGGAACCGGUCGCCGGUCCGUCGGUCCGCCUGCAGCCUGCACUGUUUCGCGUUUUCGGCCAUUUUUCUCCAAUUCCGACCCUUCCUUUGCCCAUCCCAACCUCCAGCAAGACCCCAAGACCCCCAGGUGUCGCCGGUUGCCGGCCAAACCCCUCGCCGGAGCUCCGGCCAAGCCAUUCAACUCAGUUUCUCCUCCGGCAGGGCUGUUUUUCAGUGUUUUCAGUGGGAGUCCGAGCUGUGGUUGCUGUGUUGAGCUUGGGACCGCCUUAGAUCGUCGUUGUUGAGGUCCCGGUGCGUAGCCACUGUCGUCGCCGCCGCGUCGGUGCCUCCGGUCCGCUUAACGGGUCCAUAGUGUGAAGAGCCAGGAGCUUGAAGCGGAAGGGUCAGGAGCAUAGGUGGCUCAGUAGUUCUUUAUGACAUAGACCUUCUGUAUAAGCUUGAAGUGUUUAUAAAAGUGUAUUUGAUUUGAAA